UAUGGUCAAAUCAUGGAGAAAACACUAGUUCUUGUUCGAUCACCAAAGUUAAGUAGAGUUGAGCCUGGUCAGUAAUUAGAUGGGGAACCUCUUGUGAACACUGG